UUGCCGCUUCAUGGUGAUGAUGUUGGUGGUGGGUGCUUUGAAGAUGCUGUGCUGUACAGCUGUAUGGAUGAUAGCAUCAUUGCUGCAUACUACCACGUCCACGGCAGCAUGUAAUUCAGCACAAACAUAGUGAUUUUUCCCCUCUGCUUUGAAAAAACAUGUACUCACAAAUUAUCCACUCCAUCUCUCCAUUUAUUGUUUCUGGGUUUCAGCUGGAUUUAGGAUCAGAAAUACCA
rnacentral:lncRNA from 1 species